rnacentral:tRNA from 1 species
GGCCGGUUAGCUCAGCUGGUUAGAGCGUGGUGCUAAUAACGCCAAGGUCGCAGGUUCGACACCUGUACUGUCCA